rnacentral:lncRNA from 1 species
UUUACAGCCAGGGUCUCACUAUGUUGCCCAGGCUACUCUCAAACUCCUGGGCUCAAGUGAUCCUCCUGCCUUGCCCUCCCAAAGCGCUGGGAUUACAGAUGUAAGCCAUCAUGCCCUGCAACACUGUUUCUUUAGGAAGCCCUCCCUGGACACCCCCCCACCCACUCCAGACCGGUUGGUGAUCCUGAGCUCAGAGGAAGUCUGCUGUGAACAUCGCAGAACCACCCACGGCACCUUUUUGUGGCACCCUCACCAUGGAUCCAGUGUCUAAAGGCAGUUUCUCCAAGUUAGGCAAACAGAGAGGUGGCAGCCCACGUGUGUUUCAAGGGGACACAAAGUCACCCCUCUUGUCCCCUCCUGCCUCCUACCUGGCUGGCCUCCCUUUUCCUGCGGGCUAAAGACUGUUUACUCAGCUGCCUUCUGGCAGGAAGGCCUCUGGCAAGGCAGCUCAGCGUUGGGCCACUUCAUGUGCUCACGUGCGCACACACUUUUCAGAAAAUGCUUCCAAGAUUUCUCAAGCGAACAGUUAUUUCUGGGACUAUUUUAUUUGCAUUUUACCACACACACACUUGUCCUCAGAAACAUGGGCAUUUGCACUUCUAGUGAUUUUUAAAUUUAUAGUUAUUGAUUAUAAGUCAUAUAAAUACACAUUAUUGACCUUAGAGAUUUAUUUGAAUUUCAACUGCAAUCCUUCAAGAGAAUUAUUACUAUUAUUAUUAUUAUUAUUAUUAUUAUUAUUUGAGAUGGAGUCUCACUCUGUCACCCAGGCUGGAGUACAGUGGUGCAAUCUCAGCUCAUUGCAACCUCCACCUCCCAGGUUCAAGAGAUUCUUCUGCCUCAGCCUCCCAAGUAGUUGAGAUUACAGGUGCCUGCUACCACAUCUGGCUAAUUUCUGUAUUUUUAGUAGAGAUGGGGUUUCACCAUGUUGGUCAGGCUGGUCUUGAACUCCUGACCUCAAGUGAUCUACCCACCUUGGCCUCCCAAAGUGCUGGGAUUACAGAUGUGAGCCACUGCACCCGGCCAAAAGUAUUAUUUUUAAAAUAUCUUAAAAUAAAAUUUAAAAAAUGAAGAUGGAAAUAAUAGACACUGAGUACUCCAAAAUGCGGGAGGGUUGGGAGGGGGAGGGUUGAAAAAUUACCCACUGGGUGCAACAUUCACUACUGGGUGAUGGGUACACGAGAAGCCAAGUCCCUACCCAUUAACAAGCAUGCCCAUGUACCCCCAAAUCUAAAACAAA